GACGAACGCUGGCGGCGUGCCUAAUACAUGCAAGUAGAACGCACAGUUUAUACCGUAGCUUGCUCCACCAUAGACUGUGAGUUGCGAACGGGUGAGUAACGCGUAGGUAACCUGCCUGGCAGCGGGGGAUAACUAUUGGAAACGAUAGCUAAUACCGCAUAAUAUUAAUUAUUGCAUGAUAAUUAAUUGAAAGGUGCAAUUGCACCACUACCAGAUGGACCUGCGUUGUAUUAGCUAGUAGGUGAGGUAACGGCUCACCUAGGCGACGAUACAUAGCCGACCUGAGAGGGUGAUCGGCCACACUGGGACUGAGACACGGCCCAGACUCCUACGGGAGGCAGCAGUAGGGAAUCUUCGGCAAUGGACGAAAGUCUGACCGAGCAACGCCGCGUGAGUGAAGAAGGUUUUCGGAUCGUAAAGCUCUGUUGUAAGAGAAGAACGGGUGUGAGAGUGGAAAGUUCACACUGUGACGGUAUCUUACCAGAAAGGGACGGCUAACUACGUG
rnacentral:rRNA from 1 species